AGAGAAUAGGGCUUCGGAGCAGGCCUGACCGGCUUUGUAUAGGAAAAGUCCUUGGAAAUCUGCACUAGCUUCUCUGAGCAAGAGUGUCUGGGAGUUCUCCGAGGUUUUAACCUCAAGAGGAUUACAUUCAGGUAUUAAGAGCAAAGGAACACAGAGAAGAAGAGUGGCUGGAUGAACUUGGGGGUGUUUCAGAACUGGCAGUGAAAAGGCACCUGGGAAGCUGAUAAGGUGAGUAAUAUUUGUCAUGUUCUUUGGAGAUUUAUGUUUUUCUGUGGUAGAUGUGUGUUUCAG
rnacentral:lncRNA from 1 species